rnacentral:rRNA from 1 species
GAUGAACGCUGGCGGCGUGCCUAAUACAUGCAAGUCGAGCGAACAGAUGAGGAGCUUGCUCCUCUGACGUUAGCGGCGGACGGGUGAGUAACACGUGGAUAACCUACCUAUAAGACUGGGAUAACUUCGGGAAACCGGAGCUAAUACCGGAUAAUAUAUUGAACCGCAUGGUUCAAUAGUGAAAGACGGUUUUGCUGUCACUUAUAGAUGGAUCCGCGCCGCAUUAGCUAGUUGGUAAGGUAACGGCUUACCAAGGCAACGAUGCGUAGCCGACCUGAGAGGGUGAUCGGCCACACUGGAACUGAGACACGGUCCAGACUCCUACGGGAGGCAGCAGUAGGGAAUCUUCCGCAAUGGGCGAAAGCCUGACGGAGCAACGCCGCGUGAGUGAUGAAGGUCUUCGGAUCGUAAAACUCUGUUAUUAGGGAAGAACAAAUGUGUAAGUAACUAUGCACGUCUGGACGGUACCUAAUCAGAAAGCCAUGGCUAACUACGG